AAGCAAAUCUGAUUGAGAAAUAAAAACUUGCGUUUGUUUUUCGAUUCGAUUGGGAUUUCAAUUAAAACUAAAACAAAUUAUAAACUAAAUUACGCCAUUUAUAUAGAAAACAAAAAUGAGUUUUUAAUCUUCGAAAUGAAAACAUUUUCACCUUCAAAAUUAAAACAUUUUGAAACAUCUGAAUUAAAUUUUCUUUAGUGUCUAGGUAGAUGUUUUUUAAGAGUGUAUUGUUUUCAGUGGCUAGCCGGGAGGUUGAAAACAUCAUCCUGCGAUGGAGAUCCAAUUUAUCGGUUGGUGGAAGAAGAUUCAUCAAUUACUUAAAAAGUCUAUCGGGAUUUGAGUGACCAGGAUGGCAGUUCCAAAAAGUUCCGUCGAUGGCUCAAAGUUUCGUGGAGCAAAGGAUCAACGUUUGCUGCUCUCAUGCUACUGGAUUCGAAGAGGCGAUGUUGGGCGAGUUAUUGAUCGCAUUUGAACCCGAAGUGUAAGGUUCAGAUACAAGACCAAAUUCGACGGAGCUUGCAAUAAAGGUCGAAGAGAGCACAGCGAAAAAGGAACCGUUAUAUCAUUUUCAAGAAUACACCAUAUUUUUUUCCUAGAAAAGUUUAGAAUAAAACGGCUUCCAAAAGAGUGUA